rnacentral:rRNA from 1 species
GACGAACGCUGGCGGCGUGCUUAACACAUGCAAGUCGAACGGAAAGGCCCUGCUUUGGUGGGGUGCUCGAGUGGCGAACGGGUGAGUAACACGUGAGUAACCUGCCCUUGACUUUGGGAUAACUUCAGGAAACUGGGGCUAAUACCGGAUAGGAGCUCCUGCUGCAUGGUGGGGGUUGGAAAGUUUCGGCGGUUGGGGAUGGACUCGCGGCUUAUCAGCUUGUUGGUUGGGUAGUGGCUUACCAAGGCUUUGCCGGGUAGCCUGCCUGAGAGGGUGACCGGCCACAUUGGGACUGAGAUACGGCCCAGACUCCUACGGGAGGCAGCAGUGGGGAAUAUUGCACAAUGGGCGGAAGCCUGAUGCAGCACCGCCGCGUGCGGGAUGACGGCCUUCGGGUUGUAAACCGCUUUCGCCUGUGACGAAGCGUGAGUGACGGUAAUGGGUAAAGAAGCACCGGCUAACUACGUG